UACACACACACAACCUCAUUGUAGACUAUGAAUUGAGACAAAUCAAAUUUUCCUUUCUUCUUCUCGAGUUCUCCACUUUUCUGCUUCCCUUCUCUCUAAAUUCUUCCUUCCUCCUUUCUAUUUCUGUCUAAUUACUUAGAUACCAACAAUUUGGUAUCAGAUCAUCGAGAUUGGGUUGCUUCCAUGAUAAAAGGCGAAACUACUACUACGGGUACGAGCCAAGCUCCAGAUAUGAACGAGUUGCUUGGAGAUCUGGCUGUGCAGCAAGGUGAAUUUCUUAAGCGACAGGAGAUGCUGGAGCAAAGGGAUGUUAUUUACCUGCAGAUGAUGAGCGAAUUGAAGGGCUUCAACAACAGAAUCAACAGAAAGGGUCGCCUUUAGUUGAUAAUCGAGCUGAAGAAGUUCAACUGUCUGGAUCUAGAACUGAAGGUGUCAAUUCUCAAGGGGAAACUGCAUGUCCUAAAAGGCAAUCAUCCUAAAUGUCAAAUAUCUGGUACUAAAGCCACCAAUAAGCUGAAAAUGGAUGAUGCUCAGUUAUUCAUGCUCCAUAUUACACCCAUAGAAUCACUACCUUACCAAAUGUAUGCAUUACAACUACCUUCUAACAGUGACAUUCCUGAACUUUUAAACCCUUUACUCACUCAAUACCAACACCAUUUUUUUAACCUACUGCCCUUCCCCUUUCCAGAGGUAUCUUUGAUCACAAAAUUCAUCUACUUCCUCACACCAAACCUAUAACCUCAGACCAUACAUAUAUUCCUUUCUCAAGAAGGAUAUCAUAGAAAAGUUGAUAAAAGACAUGCUCACUCAGGGAAUUAUCCAUAUAGCAAUAGUCCAUUUGCUUCACCUGUUGUCCUUGUGGGAAAAAAAUAGUACUUGGAGGUUAUGUGUUGACUAUAGAGAGCUAAACCAACAAACCAUUAAGGAGAAGUUCCCUAUUACCAUCAUUGAUGAUCUAUUGGAUGAGCUUGGAGAAGCCAUGAUCUUAUCCAAAAUUGAUCUCAGAUCUGGCUAUCACCAGAUAAGAAUGCAUACUGAGGAUAUACCAAAAACUGCUUUUAGAAUACAUUUAGAUCACUAUGAAUACUUAGUGAUGCCAUUUGGUCUUACCAAUGCUCCAUCUACUUUUCAAAACUUGUCAUCAGCCAGUUUUGGCGGAAAAUUCUGUUGUAGUUACCAGCUUGUCUUUUGGCCUUUUCUUUAUUUUUGUAAUUUCUCAUUGUGACAUUUCAUUUGCGUGACUUGUUGUGUAUAUAUAUACACACACAUAUACAUAACCUCAUUGUAGUUUUAUGAAUUGAGAUAAAUCAAAUUUCCAUUUCUUCU